rnacentral:rRNA from 1 species
UACGUAGGGGGCAAGCGUUGUCCGGAAUUAUUGGGCGUAAAGCGCGCGCAGGCGGCCUUGUAAGUCUGUCGUUUAAAACUCGGAGCUCAACUUCGAGUCGCGAUGGAAACUGCAAAGCUUGAGUGCAGAAGAGGAAAGUGGAAUUCCACGUGUAGCGGUGAAAUGCGUAGAGAUGUGGAGGAACACCAGUGGCGAAGGCGACUUUCUGGGCUGUAACUGACGCUGAGGCGCGAAAGCGUGGGGAGCAAACAGG